rnacentral:lncRNA from 1 species
CAGAAAGGAUGGAGAUGAUGGAACAUCGUUCAUAAGUCCUGAUGGUGAAAUGUACCUGGAGCCACUCAAAGGCAUGGAAGGUGACGGUGAAGUUAUUAUCAACCCAGUUCAGAACUGCAGUCACUGUGAGUCAGGAGAUUGCCACGAGACCUCUGAGGGCACGGUGUGCUACUGUGAUGAAGAGCUCUCGCUGGCCCCAGACGGAGUGUCCUGCAUCAACUCUACCGCGGUGUCUAUGUUGCCCGCCCAGCCGUCUUUGUCUCAUCUGGCAUUGGGUCUGUCUGUGGGGACCUCCGCGCUCAUCGCUGCAUUGCUGUUGGCCGUUUCUGGCGUUAUGAUCAGUAAGUAGACUAUGUCAAAUUAUUUUUAUGAGCAUAGUUUCAUGGAGUCUCAGA